CAGUAGCCGCGGGAAUACGAAGGGUGCAAGCGUUACUCGGAAUUACUGGGCGUAAAGCGUGCGUAGGUGGUGGUUCAAGUCCGUUGUGAAAGCCCUGGGCUCAACCUGGGAAUUGCAGUGGAUACUGGGUCACUAGAGUGUGGUAGAGGAUAGUGGAAUUUCCGGUGUAGCAGUGAAAUGCGUAGAGAUCGGAAGGAACAUCUGUGGCGAAGGCGACUAUCUGGGCCAACACUGACACUGAGGCACGAAAGCGUGGGGAGCAAACAGGAUUAGAUACCCCCGUAGUCCCUGUCUCUUAUAC
rnacentral:rRNA from 1 species